GAUGAACGCUGGCGGCGUGCUUAACACAUGCAAGUCGAACGGUGAACGAGGGAGCUUGCUCCCUUCGGAUCAGUGGCGAACGGGUGAGUAACACGUGAGCAAUCUGCCCUGGACUCUGGGAUAAGCGUUGGAAACGACGUCUAAUACCGGAUACGAGGCGUGGGGGCAUCCCCAACGCCUGGAAAGAACUUCGGUCCAGGAUGAGCUCGCGGCCUAUCAGGUAGUUGGUGAGGUAAUGGCUCACCAAGCCUACGACGGGUAGCCGGCCUGAGAGGGUGACCGGCCACACUGGGACUGAGACACGGCCCAGACUCCUACGGGAGGCAGCAGUGGGGAAUAUUGCACAAUGGGCGCAAGCCUGAUGCAGCAACGCCGCGUGAGGGACGACGGCCUUCGGGUUGUAAACCUCUUUUAGCAGGGAAGAAGCGAAAGUGACGGUACCUGCAGAAAAAGCACCGGCUAACUACGUGCCAGCCGCCGCGGUAAGAC
rnacentral:rRNA from 1 species